rnacentral:rRNA from 1 species
AAGUUGCGCCCGAGGCCAUCCGGNCGAGGGCACGCCUGCCUGGGCGUCACGCCAU